rnacentral:lncRNA from 1 species
GGGGCCGGCGGGCGGGCGGUGCAGCUGCCGCCGGCGUCUCGGGGGCUCCAGGCUGCGGGGCGGACGCAGCGCCGAGCGAUCCACAGCCGAGUCCCGGCCCCGGCCCCGAGCGAGCCCCGCUGCCGCCGCCGCCCCGGGCCCGCCGCACCCCGGACACGCCGCGGCCGCCACCGCCGGGAAGGCAGCGGGCGCCGGGCAAGUUGCGAGCGAGCACGCCCCUCGCCCGGGGAAAGUUUCCCCCGCGGCCGCCGGCGGGAGUUGGCACGGGGUCCGGCCGCUGCCGCUGGAAGAGUUUACGGAAGCCGCCGUUGGAAAGAGACCUCGAGGCGUCUUUCCACCCCUGAAAGGAGAAGAAAGCGGUGGAAAGAGGAAUUCUUUAGUGUCUGGAAGAAAACACGGGAGAAUAUCUUCAUGACCUCGUGGUAGGCAAAGACUUCUUAGAUGGGAUAUUAAAAGAUAGUAACCACAGAAGGAAAUUUGAUGAAUGGGACUUCAUCAAAAUUUAAAACUUCUGCUCAUCAAAGAUACUGUUAAGAAAAUGAGUAGGAAAGACGCAGACUGGAAGAAAAUGAUCACAACACGUGUGCCCAGGACGUCCCACCACCGUUUCAAGCACUUGCUGAUCCCUCGAGGUCCUGUGGGUCGGCCGGCAUUCUCUUUGUGGAACGCCCGUCCGUUCACGGCUCGCCCCUGUUUAACUCCCGCCGCCCGCAGGAUGAAUCCCACAGCCUCCGUGUGGCCCCCAGUCUGGCCCCCUCCCGCUUGUCGUCUGUGCCAGUGCUGUGUGUCAUGUCCUUCUCUCAGUCCCUCGAGGUCCAAACUCCUUCACCCAGGAGCUGCCUUCACAGAGGCUGUUCCUCCGGAGCACGCUUUUCCUGGCUGCCGCGCAGCUCCCUCCCCUCCCCUUCAGAGCUCGUCGUCCCUGUGCUUUCACCAGGGAGACCUGCUCGGGUCCCAGAGGCAGCCUGGCCCUGUUGCGGGGCCUGGGGGGGCGUUCAGGGCACAGCCAUGUUGUCGGCCUUGGAGGGAAGGAUCGAGAGGCAGUUUAGAACCCCAUCCUUUGACUCAGGGGAAAAAUGCAAACUACUGAGCAGCAGGUGGGUGCUGGCACUGACCAGCUGGAGUGGACACUGGUCGUGGUGCUGGGCCCCAGAGGGCCCUGCUGGACCAGAUGUCCCCCGUUAGCUCCUGGGUGUAGGGAGGGGCUGAGGAGGCCGUGGAACACUCUGGGUUACUAACCAGUGCCAACGGACGGCGGGAUUCGUUCUGCUGUGUAAGCUGGGCUCAGCUCUCCUUCGACGGCCUUCUGUUCCCGGCUCAUGGUCUUUCUGUCCCCCCAGGUCCUCUAAAGCCCUUUUAUUCUUUUCUUUGCGACUGUCGUGUCAACCCAUGACCUUUCCAGCAAGACCACAGGUUUUGAGGAUGCGUUCAGGCGUUGAUGCCCCAGCUCCGCCCCUCAGGCCUGUGGAAUCCCUCGCCGGAAGCUCUCGGGGGACCCUGUGCUGUCACGUCUCACAUUCAUCUCCAUGUGAUGAGGUUCUAGUAGAAUGUUCUUUGUCCACUGUCUGUCUCCAUCCCUGGAUGGCAGACUUGAGAAGGCAGCCAACACUUCUGCGUGUCCACUGCCGUGUCCCCAGCCCCCGGGGCCGUUCCCGGCACGCAGGAACGUUCCGUGAACCCUUGACCAAUCCACGAAGGUUAAUGAACCACCACCCAGCAGGAUGGACAGCCUGCGUGCCUUCUCCCGUUUCCCCACUGGGAAACUGAGGCCCUGGGGGCUCAGUGGCUUGUUCAGGCUCUCACAGCUGGUUAGCGGCAGAGUCGUGAAUAAAGGCCAGGUCUUCUGGCUUCUAGAAUUUCUGCCCUAGGACGCUGUACUCCUUACUUCUAAGUUUAAAGCCAAUCAUGCAAGUGGUGAAUGCUGUAAAAAUGCGGAGUGCCAUAUGAAUAAAAGGGAUCGUUAAAAAUAUCGAUGGUGAUUUUAAUCACCCCUAACCACGGUCACGAGACAAAGCCUUUUUCUAAAUACGGGGCAGAUGGUGCUAAAAUCCAGAUGUUCCAUAGGGCCUUGAUGUGUUUUGCAUUGUGAAUGUUUGUGUUUGACGUUGGUAAGAUGCAAAAGGAUAUUUAUAAGAUAAAGGGAAGGGGGCCGGCCCGGUGGUGUGGCGGUUAAGGUCACGUGCUCUGCUUCGGCGGCCUGGGGUUCACCGGUUCGGAUCCUGAGUGCAGGCAUGGCACCGUUUAUCAAGCCAUGCUGUGGUGGCGUUCCACAUAUAAAAUAGAGGAAGAUGCGCACGGAUGUUAGCUCAGGACCAAUCUUCCUCUAAAGAAAGAAAGAAAGAAAGAAAGAGAAUUAACUAUAACAAUACAUUGAACACGAGUGUCCUCCACCAAGACCCAGAAACACCGAAGCCCCGUGUGCUGCCUGAGCCAGCCUCUUCCCAUGCCAGAUUUGACCUUUCUCUUCCUUUUGGUUUUUUUAAUGUUUUUUUUUCACAUCCUGCUUUAGUAUUUUCUCUGCAUUUAUAUAUUCAUUCAGCAAAUGCAUGCCAAGCUCUAUUGCCACGGGUAGCGUUACAGGGCUUCCUACGCCCCCGGCUGCAGCCCUACAGUUGUUAAAAGGGAAGAAAGAGGUGAUUGUUUCCCUCUGACAAUCAACUUCUCCUGGGGGCUGUGCACCCCGUCUCUCCUAACCUGAAGCCUGCUCUCCCCUUCAAUGCCUUGUUGGCGUUUUGGCCACACUGCAGCCCACUGUGAGUUUUUUCCACAGAUAUUUGUGCCCUUGCCAAGGUGGUUUAUAUCAUUAAUGUUCCCUUUGUCUGGAGUUUUCUCCCCCCCUCGAUUUCACUCUGCGUCGGGUCAUUGACUGGACCUGGCAAAGCGGAACUCGGCUCCUGGGGCCUCCUGCCCCGGCCUCCUGCUCGUCGGUGGUGCCAGGGCGGCUGCAGUGUUGCACAGAGGGCAGGGGCGAGGCGCCUGCAGGGCAGAGGACUUGCGCCAGAAGGCAAUGAACACUCGCUGUUUAAUAUCGGCCGACCUUGGGCAAGCCUCUGAACCCCUUGCCUUCCCUGUCAGUAAGGAGGGUGCAACGGUGGUGCCCACCGACUGGGCCGCUUUGCAGGUUAGGCAGGCACAGCCCUCGAAGUGCUGAGGACGGUGGGGGGCGUGGCUCGUUAGCUGUUAUUUUGAGCCUGCGAGACCAGGGCGCCGACGGAUGCCACCCACAGGCCUCCCCGGUGAAUGACAGUCUGGGGCUUCCAGAUCCUUGCACACCCACCGCGCUCGUUCCGGCUCUGGCGCCAAGUAGGCUGGGCGCAGGUUGUGUCCCCAUCUGACAGGCCCUGGGUUCGAGUCUUACCCCUGCCACUCACUGUGUGACCUCAGGCAAGGGACCUCCCAGAGCUCCAGUUUCCUUCCUCAUUAAGAGGCUUUGAUGAAGACCUGCCUCUCUCUCGCUUAUGGAGAAGUUUGAACCAGACAUCUGUACAACCAUGAACAAGUCAGACCCCUGCACGGUGCACACCCCGGUGUGCAGGCAAGCCUUCUCUGCUGAUCUCCAGGUCCCACGGCCAGUCGCAUCCCCACGGUCAUGUCCAGCCGUCCCUGGCACGUGGUGCUCAGCACACGAUGGGUCCCUCCCCCACUCCCAGGUGGACCCGCCAAUGCCAUAGGGACAAGGCCAGGCCGAGCCUUCCGCUUUUCUCCUGGACCUGGAGUGGAGGCACCAGACAAUGCAAGAGCAGCUUUCAUCCUAACUCGGAGACCCCGAGGCCCCAGGCGCCAGAGGCCCCGAGCUGCCUCCCAGCCUGGUGUCCACGGGCGUCUGGGAGGCCAGUCUCCCGGGCUCCUCGCUCCUUCUGCGCCCCCCAGGCUCUGCACCCCUCUGCAGAGUCCUGCCUCCUCGCAUCCCCUGGGGUUCCCUUCAAGGUUGUAAUGAGGUCAGCUGGGGGGGGUCUGUUCCAUUGCCUCGUAUCUUAUGGGGCAAGAAGCAACGAGAAAGUGCCAAUGUGAAGCCACAGACGGAGGAGUCGAGAAGCUGGUGGUGGCCUCAGGCCUCCACGGCCACGCUCCCCAGGGUGCGGGCAUCACCCCCAACCACGCCACUGGCCCCUCGGGACUCAUUUUUGAUGUUGUUGCUGCCGUCUUAGUUUUGUUUUUUAAUAGCUUUAUAGAGAGAGAAUUUACACGUAAUAAAAUUCACUCAAGGGUAUGAGUCAAUGAUUUGUAGCAACUUUACAAAGUUGUGCAACCAUCGCCACAGUCUAAUUUUAGAAUGUUUCCAUCAUCCCCAAAGGAA